ACAUGGGUCUGCAGCUACUGAGCUGACAGCAAGGACUAAAAUGGGAGCACUGUAGAGGAAAAAAUUUUCAGCCUGACCAAUAUGGAGAAACCCCAUCUCUACUAAAAAUACAGAAUUAGAGGAGAGAAGGUUCCAAGAUGGCCAAAUAGGAACAGCUCCGGUCUACAGCUCCCAGCGUGAGCAACGCAGAAGACGGGUGACUUCUGCACUUCCAACUGAGGAUAUAUGAUUGUGUGGCCUGACAAUCUCAGAAAGUAAAAGCAAAGAAAUUGAAAGACAUGGAAAGAACUAGGCCGGGACCAGCACUGGGCCUUAAUAACCAGUUCACUGAGAUGUGUUGGUCAGCAUUAGAAGAGAAACCAUCUGUUGACUACAGUAGCAGGAUUCAUUUCUGCAACUGCUGAGAGACA
rnacentral:antisense_RNA from 1 species